rnacentral:rRNA from 1 species
CAGCCGCCGCGGUAAUACGUAGGGUGCGAGCGUUCAUCGGAUUUACUGGGCGUAAAGCGUGCGCAGGCGGCCCGUUAAGACAGGUGUGAAAUCCCUGGGCUCAACCUAGGAAUUGCGCUUGUGACUGGCGGGCUCGAGUACGGUAGAGGGGGGUGGAAUUCCUGGUGUAGCAGUGAAAUGCGUAGAGAUCAGGAGGAACACCGAUGGCGAAGGCAGCCCCCUGGGCCUGUACUGACGCUCAUGCACGAAAGCGUGGGAAGCAAACAGGAUUAGAUACCCUGGUAGUCCACGCCCUAAACGAUGGGUACUAGCCGUUUGGUGCGCGAUAGCGCUGAGUGGCGAAGCUAACGCGUAAAGUACCCCGCCUGGGGAGUACGGCCGCAAGGUUGAAACUUAAAGGAAUUGGCGGG